GGUUCUCAGGGACAGGUGGCUUCAUAAGAUAAUCCUUUCCUAGCUCAAGAACCUUUCUUUAGAGUGUUAGAGAAAGAAAAAUUCUUAGUCCUUUGUUUCUCACCACCUAGAGAUGCUAGAAUUCUACUUCUUGGCACUAAAAGCUAUAUCAUCCUGCACGCUUGUGUUCUGAAGCAGGUGCUAACUCUCUUCUGGGCCUUAAUACCUCUCGUUUUUUCUCUUUUCCUCUCAACAACUGUCCUCACUACACAACUUGGCCAGGGCCUCCCGUCCAAGUGAGAGCUCUUCUCUAAGGCAACAGUCUGCAAACUUUAUCACAAAUUCCAUUAAUAAAGUUAAGCAUGUAUCCUC
rnacentral:lncRNA from 10 species